UACGUAGGGGGCUAGCGUUGUCCGGAAUCAUUGGGCGUAAAGCGCGUGUAGGCGGUCCGGUAAGUCCGCUGUGAAAGUCGGGGGCUCAACCCUCGGAUGCCGGUGGAUACUGUCGGGCUUGAGUACGGAAGAGGCGAGUGGAAUUCCUGGUGUAGCGGUGAAAUGCGCAGAUAUCAGGAGGAACACCGAUGGCGAAGGCAGCCCCCUGGGUCGACACUGACGCUCAGGCACGAAAGCGUGGGGAGCAAACAGG
rnacentral:rRNA from 1 species